rnacentral:tmRNA from 1 species
GGGGAUGAUCGGUUUCGACAUUGCCUGCGAGCGAGAGAGAAGCGGGUCGAGGAUGCAGGGAUAUCUCGUUAACGACAUCUGCAAACAACAAGUGCAAAAACAAACCGCACUGACUUCGCCCUCGCUGCUUAAGCGAGUCUGAAGUCCGUCAGACCGGGGUAGAUCCCGACUCGUGUACUGACGUCAUUUAGGGAACUAGCUACAGUGUUACGCCUGAGGGCACUGUGGGACUCAAACUCUGGCUGGGCUCGUCGACUUAGGUGCUGGUAAUAAAGGUCGGAGCCGAGUAAAGCGAUUUAACCAGCUACACCCGUAGAAGACUCACAAUUUCAGUAAUGGACGGGGGUUCAAUUCCCCCCAUCUCCAC